rnacentral:rRNA from 1 species
AUUGAACGCUGGCGGUAUGCUUAACACAUGCAAGUCGAACGGAAACGAUACUAGCUUGCUAGUAGGCGUCGAGUGGCGGACGGGUGAGUAACGCGUAGGAAUCUGCCUGAUAGUGGGGGAUAGCCCGAAGAAAUUCGGAUUAAUACCGCAUAAUCUAUUCGUAGUAAAGUGGGGGACUUUCGAGCCUCACGCUAUCAGAUGAGCCUGCGUAAGAUUAGCUUGUUGGUAGGGUAAAAGCCUACCAAGGCUACGAUCUUUAGCUGGUCUGAGAGGAUGAUCAGCCACAUCGGGACUGAGACACGGCCCGAACUCCUACGGGAGGCAGCAGUGGGGAAUAUUGGACAAUGGGGGCAACCCUGAUCCAGCAAUACCGCGUGUGUGAAGAAGGCCUGAGGGUUGUAAAGCACUUUCAAUUGUGAAGAAAAGUUAGCGGUUAAUAACUGUUAGCCUUGACGUUAACUUUAGAAGAAGCACCGGCUAACUCCGUGCCAGCAGCCGCGGUAAUACGGAGGGUGCAAGCGUUAAUCGGAAUUACUGGGCGUAAAGCGUGCGUAGGCGGUUUAUUAAGUCAGAUGUGAAAGCCCCGGGCUUAACCUGGGAACUGCAUUUGAAACUGGUCAACUAGAGUAUGGUAGAGGAAAGUGGAAUUUCUGGUGUAGCGGUGAAAUGCGUAGAUAUCAGAAGGAACAUCAAUGGCGAAGGCAGCUUUCUGGACCAAUACUGACGCUGAGGUACGAAAGCGUGGGUAGCAAACAGGAUUAGAUACCCUGGUAGUCCACGCCGUAAACGAUGAUAACUAGCCGUUGGGGGGAUUUACCCUUUAGUGGCGAAGCUAACGCGUUAAGUUAUCCGCCUGGGGAGUACGGCCGCAAGGUUAAAACUCAAAGGAAUUGACGGGGACCCGCACAAGCGGUGGAGCAUGUGGUUUAAUUCGAUGCAACGCGAAGAACCUUACCUGGUCUUGACAUCCUGCGAACUUUCUAGAAAUAGAUUGGUGCCUUCGGGAACGCAGUGACAGGUGCUGCAUGGCUGUCGUCAGCUCGUGUCGUGAGAUGUUGGGUUAAGUCCCGUAACGAGCGCAACCCCUAUCCUUAUUUGCCAGCACAUCAUGGUGGGAACUAUAAGGAGACUGCCGGUGAUAAACCGGAGGAAGGCGGGGACGACGUCAAGUCAUCAUGGCCCUUACGACCAGGGCUACACACGUGCUACAAUGGGAAGGACAAAGAGCCGCGAAGCCGCGAGGUGUAGCUAAUCUCAUAAACCUUUUCGUAGUCCGGAUUGGAGUCUGCAACUCGACUCCAUGAAGUCGGAAUCGCUAGUAAUCGUAGAUCAGAAUGCUACGGUGAAUACGUUCCCGGGUCU